GACAGAGGUGCCAAGCGUUAGGCGGAAUCACUGGGCUUAAAGCGUGUGUAGGCGGAAUUGUAAGUACCUUGUGAAAGCCCACGGCUCAACCGUGGAGGGUCAUUGGAAACUGGGGGACUUGAGUGCAGAAGAGGAGAGUGGAAUUCCACGUGUAGCGGUGAAAUGCGUAGAGAUGUGGAGGAACACCAGUGGCGAAGGCGACUCUCUGGUCUGUAACUGACGCUGAGGCGCGAAAGCGUGGGGAGCAAACAGG
rnacentral:rRNA from 1 species